GGGAUGUAGGAGGGUAUCUCUGUGCCUGAGAUGAGCGGUCGGUGCUCAGAAAUAGAGGCUUAUUAAGGCAAAAUCCCAUUGAGUUCACUGGAACUGUUGUGUGACAGGAGGGUGAGCUUUGGACUGCAGAUUGCCUGGGGUGCUUGUAGGGCAGAAUUCCAGUGGGACAGCAUGUACCUCUUUUCUAAGGACAAGAUCAGGACCUGAGAACCAAACCACGUUGUCAUGUGAAGCUUGGCUGUGAAAAUACCUGUCUGCUGCUGUGCGAAAUUGCCAGCAGUUGGAACACCAACAGAUCAGUCUGUAGGAGCAAUGUAAAGACGGAAUGGCAUCCCGUGCCCUAUGAUACCUUUGUGGAGACAACAUGGCACAGUGUUGUAAAUUGGAUUAGAAACCUUGCCCUGGAAGAUGGGUGAAAAAGUU
rnacentral:lncRNA from 1 species